GACGUAGGGCGCGAGCGUUGUCCGGGAUUAUUGGGCGUAAAGAGCUCGUAGGCGGUUUGUUGCGUCGGCUGUGAAAUCCCGAGGCUCAACCUCCGGGUCUGCAGUCGAUACGAGCAAACUAGAGUGUUGCAGGGGAGACUGGGAAUUCCUGGUGUAGCGGUGGAAUGCGUAGAUAUCAGGAGGAACACCGGUGGCGAAGGCGGCUUUCUGGACAGAUACCGACGC
rnacentral:rRNA from 1 species